UACAGAGGCCCCAAGCGUUAAUCGGAAUUACUGGGCGUAAAGCGCGCGUAGGCGGCUUGUUAAGCUAGAUGUGAAAGCCCCGGGCUCAACCUGGGAACUGCAUUUAGAACUGGCAAGCUAGAGUAUGGCAGAGGAGUGUGGAAUUUCCGGUGUAGCGGUGAAAUGCGUAGAGAUCGGAAGGAACACCAGUGGCGAAGGAGACACUCUGGGCCAAUACUGACGCUGAGGUGCGAAAGCGUGGGGAGCAAACAGG
rnacentral:misc_RNA from 1 species